UAGGGAAUCUUCCACAAUGGACGCAAGUCUGAUGGAGCAACGCCGCGUGAGUGAAGAAGGUCUUCGGAUCGUAAAGCUCUGUUGUUGGUGAAGAAGGAUAGAGGCAGUAACUGGUCUUUAUUUGACGGUAAUCAACCAGAAAGUCACGGCUAACUACGUGCCAGCAGCCGCGGUAAUACGUAGGUGGCAAGCGUUGUCCGGAUUUAUUGGGCGUAAAGCGAGCGCAGGCGGAAUGAUAAGUCUGAUGUGAAAGCCCACGGCUCAACCGUGGAACUGCAUCGGAAACUGUCAUUCUUGAGUGCAGAAGAGGAGAGUGGAACUCCAUGUGUAGCGGUGGAAUGCGUAGAUAUAUGGAAGAACACCAGUGGCGAAGGCGGCUCUCUGGUCUGCAACUGACGCUGAGGCUCGAAAGCAUGGGUAGCGAACAGGAUUAGAUACCCUGGUAGUCCAUGCCGUAAACGAUGAGCGCUAGGUGUUGGGGACUUUCCGGUCCUCAGUGCCGCAGCAAACGCAUUAAGCGCUCCGCCUGGGAAGUACGACCGCAAGGUUGAAAC
rnacentral:rRNA from 1 species